rnacentral:rRNA from 1 species
UACGGAGGGUGCAAGCGUUAAUCGGAAUUACUGGGCGUAAAGCGCACGCAGGUGGCUGAGUCAGUCGAUUGUGAAAGCCCUGGGCUCAGCCCAGGAAGUGCAUACGAAACUGGCGAGCUUGAGUAUGGAAGAGGGUCGCGGAAUUCCCGGUGUAGAGGUGAAAUUCGUAGAUAUCGGGAGGAACACCAGUGGCGAAGGCGGCGACCUGGGCCAAUACUGACGCUGAGGUGCGAAAGCGUGGGGAGCAAACAGG